rnacentral:rRNA from 1 species
UACAGAGGGUGCAAGCGUUAAUCGGAAUUACUGGGCGUAAAGCGUGCGUAGACGGUUACAUAAGUCGGGUGUGAAAGCCCCGGGCUCAACCUGAGAAUUGCAUUCGAGACUGCGUAGCUAGGGUGCGGAAGAGGGAAGCGGAAUUUCCGGUGUAGCGGUGAAAUGCGUAGAUAUCGGAAGGAACACCAGUGGCGAAAGCGGCUUCCUGGUCCAGCACCGACGUUCAGGCACGAAAGCGUGGGGAGCAAACAGG